UACGGAGGGUGCAAGCGUUAUCCGGAUUUACUGGGUUAAAGGGUGCGUAGGCGGUUGGUAAGUCCGUGGUGAAAUCUCCAAGCUUAACUUGGAAACUGCCGUGGAUACUAUCAAUCUUGAAUAUCGUGGAGGUAAGCGGAAUAUGUCAUGUAGCGGUGAAAUGCUUAGAUAUGACAUAGAACACCAAUUGCGUAGGCAGCUUACUACACGAUCAUUGACGCUGAGGCACGAAAGCGUGGGGAGCAAACAGG
rnacentral:rRNA from 1 species